rnacentral:rRNA from 1 species
UACGUAGGGACCAAGCGUUGUUCGGAUUUACUGGGCGUAAAGGGCGCGUAGGCGGCGUGUUAAGUCACUUGUGAAAUCUCUAAGCUUAACCUAGAACGGUCAAGUGAUACUGAUGUGCUAGAGUGCAGAAGGGGCAACCGGAAUUCUUGGUGUAGCGGUGAAAUGCGUAGAUAUCAAGAGGAACACCUGAGGUGAAGACGGGUUGCUGGGCUGACACUGACGCUGAGGCGCGAAAGCUAGGGUAGCAAACGGG